rnacentral:rRNA from 1 species
CCUACGGGAGGCAGCAGUAGGGAAUCUUCCGCAAUGGGCGAAAGCCUGACGGAGCAACGCCGCGUGAGUGAUGAAGGUCUUCGGAUCGUAAAACUCUGUUAUUAGGGAAGAACAAAUGUGUAAGUAACUAUGCACGUCUUGACGGUACCUAAUCAGAAAGCCACGGCUAACUACGUGCCAGCAGCCGCGGUAAUACGUAGGUGGCAAGCGUUAUCCGGAAUUAUUGGGCGUAAAGCGCGCGUAGGCGGUUUUUUAAGUCUGAGGUAAAAGCCCACGGGUCAACCGUGGAGGGUCAUUGGAAACUGGAAAACUUGAGUGCAGAAGAGGAAAGUGGAAUUCCAUGUGUAGCGGUAAAAUGCGCAGAGAUAUGGAGGAACACCAGGGGCGAAGGCGACUUUCGGGUCUGUAACUGACGCUGAUGUGCGAAAGCGUGGGGAUCAAACAGGAUUAGAUACCCCUGUAGU